GAUGAACGCUGGCGGCGUGCCUAAUACAUGCAAGUCGAGCGAACGGACGAGAAGCUUGCUUCUCUGAUGUUAGCGGCGGACGGGUGAGUAACACGUGGAUAACCUACCUAUAAGACUGGGAUAACCUCGGGAAACCGUAGCUAAUACCGGAUAAUAUUUUGAACCGCAUGGUUCAAAAGUGAAAGACGGUCUUGCUGUCACUUAUAGAUGGAUCCGCGCUGCAUUAGCUAGUUGGUAAGGUAACGGCUUACCAAGGCAACGAUGCAUAGCCGACCUGAGAGGGUGAUCGGCCACACUGGAACUGAGACACGGUCCAGACUCCUACGGGAGGCAGCGGUAGGGAAUCUUCCGCAAUGGGCGAAAGCCUGACGGAGCAACGCCGCGUGAGUGAUGAAGGCCUUCGGAUCGUAAAACUCUGUUAUUAGGGAAGAACAUAUGUGUAAGUAACUGUGCACAUCUUGACGGUACCUAAUCAGAAAGCCACGGCUAACUACGUG
rnacentral:rRNA from 1 species